rnacentral:rRNA from 1 species
GUGGCGAACGGGUGAGUAACACGUGAGUAACCUGCCCUUGACUUUGGGAUAACUUCAGGAAACUGGGGCUAAUACCGGAUAGGAGCUCCUGCUGCAUGGUGGGGGUUGGAAAGUUUCGGCGGUUGGGGAUGGGCUCGCGGCUUAUCAGCUUGUUGGUGGGGUAGUGGCUUACCAAGGCUUUGACGGGUAGCCGGCCUGAGAGGGUGACCGGCCACAUUGGGACUGAGAUACGGCCCAGACUCCUACGGGAGGCAGCAGUGGGGAAUAUUGCACAAUGGGCGGAAGCCUGAUGCAGCAACGCCGCGUGCGGGAUGACGGCCUUCGGGUUGUAAACCGCUUUCGCCUGUGACGAAGCGUGAGUGACGGUAAUGGGUAAAGAAGCACCGGCUAACUACGUGCCAGCAGCCGCGGUGAUACGUAGGGUGCGAGCGUUGUCCGGAUUUAUUGGGCGUAAAGGGCUCGUAGGUGGUUGAUCGCGUCGGCUGUGAAAUCUGGAGGCUUAACCUUCAGCGUGCAGUCGAUACGGGCAGACUUGAGUUCGGCAGGGGAGACUGGAAUUCCUGGUGUAGCGGUGAAAUGCGCAGAUAUCAGGAGGAACACCGGUGGCGAAGGCGGGUCUCUGGGCCGAUACUGACGCUGAGGAGCGA